UACGGAGGGUGCAAGCGUUGCUCGGAAUUAUUGGGCGUAAAGGGUAGGUAGGUGGUCUCGUUUGUCAGGGGCGAAAGCCUUGGGCUUAACCCAAGAAGUGCCCCUGAAACGGCGAGACUCGAGUACUGGAGAGGCGAGGUGGAAUUCCCGGUGUAGCGGUGAAAUGCGUAGAGAUCGGGAGGAACACCAGAGGCGAAGGCGGCUCGCUGGACAGUGACUGACACUCAACUACGAAAGCGUGGGGAGCAAACAGG
rnacentral:rRNA from 1 species